CCCUUUUGCUCUCAAAUCAAUCUGUUGAUGGAAAGUACUGCACCAACUAAGCGUGUUGAAUAUUUUUUUAUAAGUGUCUUAUAAGGUUCAGCAGAUAAAAUAAUAGAUGCAAUAGCAUCAGUUGCACUAGCUGGAGUUUAAUUAUUGGUAGACAUUGUUUAUGUGGGAAUUUAUCAAAAGAAGGAAUAAGAAGUUGCCUCACAUCUCCCGGCAUCUUUUUAUCUAUCCCAUCUACCCGAUCCUGGUAUUUGUAAAUCUCACUUAUUUUUAGUUAUACUUCUUUGGUAUUUCUUUUGUUGCGUCUUUCCUAUUUUCAAAUUUUAAGUUUACAGUAAAGUAAGCAUUUGAAGUUUGUUUUGUAUUUGGAAGGCAUUGUUGCUAUCUCGCUGUCUGCAAACAGAUUCUACAAGAUAUAAUCUUCUUGAAAAUCCCACUAUUGACACCCCAACGCAGCCAACAUCAUCUUGGUACAGAGAUGAUUUUUCAAUAACAUGUUGCACUUAUCAUACAAGAACCUCAUGUGCUUCCUGAGAAAGUUGUCAGUCACCAUGUUCCACCAACUCAACCCCAAGACAAUUUAAACAAAGGAAAAAGUA